UACGUAGGGAGCAAGCGUUGUCCGGAAUCAUUGGGCGUAAAGCGCGCGUAGGCGGCCCCGUAAGUCCGCUGUGAAAGUCAAAGGCUCAACCUUUGAAAGCCGGUGGAAACUGUGGGGCUAGAGUCCGGAAGAGGCGAGUGGAAUUCCUGGUGUAGCGGUGGAAUGCGCAGAUAUCAGGAGGAACACCAAUAGCGAAGGCAGCUCGCUGGGACGGUACUGACGCUAAGGCGCGAAAGCGUGGGGAGCGAACAGGAUUAGAAAC
rnacentral:rRNA from 1 species